rnacentral:lncRNA from 1 species
GUUGUUCUGGGGGGAGAAGAUGGCAGUCUGGCCUGAUUCCAGAAGAUGGUGACUGUUAGGUGAGAACUGGAUGAGGUUGCCAUCUGGUGUAUUGCAAACAGUCUCGGAGAGUAAGAGGCCAUCUGUUAAUACUUUUUCAGGAAGCUUUUUAUAGAGCAGUGAAGUGGCAAAUCUCAAAAACACGUUGUAAUGACUUACAAGAUCUUGGCUACAAGAUGUAAUUCGUGAUGUUUUGGAGCCUCCCUCUUUAGAACCAGUGCUGCUUCAGUGAAGACUAAUAGCAAAUUGUUUUCUCUUCAGUGGUUCAGAAUUUGAUAGUGGGACAUCAAAAAUACUGG